ensembl:lncRNA
GAUGACAAAGAAAGGAGGGAAAACUGAUGGGACAAUGUUUUAUGUUAGGUAGUCAGGAUGGAGAACAUAGGUGAAGAAAUUAACUUUUCAGAAAGGGAGGAACAGGUUUUCUCUGGGACAAGAGAUGAUGAACAAAUACUAAAUUAAUUUAGGAUGGAAAGAAUAGUGGAAAGGGAGACCAUUUGAGAAGCCUUCAGUAAAACAGGAAAUAAGCUUGUAUGUAAUAAUGAAGGAAAGAACUAGUAAAGGUUGGGAGCUUGAAAUUCAAGACCUGUCCUCAAGUUUUCUUGUUGUUCAUUGUUCCUUUUCAAGGAGGACCAAUGACUUCGUGGGUGUGAGUUGAAUUUAAGUAAGGCAGAGAUGUGCCUAACUCAUAAUUUGCUUCACUUUCCCUUCCAGAGUCAUCAAAGUCUAGUGGAAAGACAAAAGUCAAGAUGACUGAGGCUAGCCCAGGAAACAAUAGAUGAUCUUGUUAUUUCAAAGCACCUUCUUCAGCUGUCUUCAUGAUUAAUGGAACAAAUUGUUUUCAUUUGCUUAUUCCACCAGAGGAAGUCUUCACAUGCUUGAGGGGAUGGCGGUGUGACCACAGCAACAGAGUAAAAAUAGGAGCAAAGCAGGGAACUUGGGACUUCCUGAUUGAGGGAGCCCAUUUCCGAAAGGACCUUGGACAGAGCACAGCGCUUCUAUGCUCCUUUUGGAAGACCCACCAAUCCUCACCUCCUGCAAUGAGCUCAUUCUUAAAGAGGAGGCAGCCUGCUUGGAAAAGAAGGCAGUCUUGUCAUGCUCAGAAUGACCUGCGCUACACCACACAGGUAGCAGCACACAUAUUAGUUAUGUUUUCUCUUAUUCCCAAUUACUGUAAAUGAGUUUCCCCUGAAUCAUAGGGAACGAGAAAGAUUUACAACAGAUUAACUUCCAUUUAGUUUAACAAAAUUGUCUAAAUGCAUAAAUCCAGCCGGCCUCACGCUCAUGAAUUUUUAUGGGCCCUUGUUGGCAGACAAUCUUUUUUUUUCUCCUCUUUCCCUCCCCUCUUGCCUGUCCUCCUCCUACUCCCGUCUGCUUUUUGAGUCUGCCUGAGCUUACACCCAAGUCAGACACUUGAGCAAGCCAGCUGAGAGGAGGGGAUGAAAGCUCUCAGGGAGCUACGUAAAAUAUAUUUAUGGCACCUCUCUCUAAAUACUCCUGUUUAGUCAUAAAUGAGUAUAAAUGAAGCAUAACAAGCAAUUUGCUGCAUGGAAGCAGAUAUUAAUGACUUGACAUAUUUAUGCCUACUUGUGUGAUCGUAUCUUUUCCCCCCAAUGACAAAUUUCAGCACAAACUGUCUUACAUCAGUACUACCCCUUUUCUUCUCAUAUGAAGAAGAAAUCUGUUUGGGUGCCCAUAAUACAUCUAAUUGGGCCUCGGGGUUUCAUUUUCCUAGUGUUUAAUUGAAGCAAUUUCGUGCCGUGUGCUUGACUGUUUAGAUUGUAAGCCCCAAAGGAGUAAGCCCUGUGUUCAAUUCAUUGGUGUGUGAAUCACCUCUCUAUUCCAGUGUUUGCCAGUUAUUAAAAAAAUAGAGCAUCUGUCAUGGUGGUUUCCUAUAAGGUUAGCCUUAGGUAUGUAAGAACUCACUUCUGAGAGAAAGAGAUGGGAUGUAUCCUAAAGAUCAUGUCCACAAUGACAGGAAGUCCUCUUAAUUCUUGAGGGAGAGGACCUGGGUUCAGAUUCUACAUUAGACACUAGAAGUAUGACCUAGAGCAAGUCAUUUCAUGUUUCUGAAUAUCAAUUUUCUCAUAAGUAAAAUGAGAGUUUUGGAGACGAUGACCUCUGAGGUUCCUUCCAACUCUGCUUGAAAUCUACAAUUCUAGGAAUUGUCAUUUUCAGUUG